GCGACAGUGGUUUAGUGGUAAAAUCCAUCGUUGCCAUCGAUGGGCCCCAUGUUCGAUUCGCGGCUGUCGCA
rnacentral:tRNA from 1 species